rnacentral:rRNA from 1 species
CCUACGGGAGGCAGCAGUGGGGAAUCUUGCACAAUGGGGGAAAGCCUGAUGCAGCAACGCCGCGUGAGUGAUGAAGGCCUUCGGGUCGUAAAGCUCUGUCGUCAGGGACGAAAAUGAGGGUAAGUGAGUGUGAAGCCACCGCCAACUACGAGCCAGCAGCCGCGGUAAAACGUAGGGGGCGAGCGUGUUGCGGAUUGAAUGGGGGUAAAGGGAGCGGGGGCGGACUUUUAAGUGGGAUGUGAAAUCCUCGGGCUCAACUUGAGUGGUGCAUUUCAAACUGGAAGUCUAGAGUGCAGGAGAGGAGAAUGGAAUUCCUAGUGUAGCGGUGAAAUGCGUAGAGAUUAGGAAGAACACCAGUGGCGAAAGCGAUUCUCUGGACUGUAACUGACGCUGAGGCUCGAAAGCGUGGGGAGCAAACAGGAUUAGAUACCCCGGUAGUC